rnacentral:tRNA from 1 species
GGUGGGGUACCCAAGUGGCCAACGGGGGCAGACUGUAAAUCUGCUGGCGUAAUGCCUUCGGUGGUUCGAAUCCACCCCCCACCA